rnacentral:rRNA from 1 species
GACGAACGCUGGCGGCGUGCCUAAUACAUGCAAGUAGAACGCUGAAGAGAGGAGCUUGCUCUUCUUGGAUGAGUUGCGAACGGGUGAGUAACGCGUAGGUAACCUGCCUUGUAGCGGGGGAUAACUAUUGGAAACGAUAGCUAAUACCGCAUAACAAUGGAUGACACAUGUCAUUUAUUUGAAAGGGGCAAUUGCUCCACUACAAGAUGGACCUGCGUUGUAUUAGCUAGUAGGUGAGGUAACGGCUCACCUAGGCGACGAUACAUAGCCGACCUGAGAGGGUGAUCGGCCACACUGGGACUGAGACACGGCCCAGACUCCUACGGGAGGCAGCAGUAGGGAAUCUUCGGCAAUGGGGGCAACCCUGACCGAGCAACGCCGCGUGAGUGAAGAAGGUUUUCGGAUCGUAAAGCUCUGUUGUAAGUCAAGAACGAGUGUGAGAGUGGAAAGUUCACACUGUGACGGUAGCUUACCAGAAAGGGACGGCUAACUACGUGCCAGCAGCCGCGGUAAUACGUAGGUCCCGAGCGUUGUCCGGAUUUAUUGGGCGUAAAGCGAGCGCAGGCGGUUUGAUAAGUCUGAAGUUAAAGGCUGUGGCUCAACCAUAGUUCGCUUUGGAAACUGUCAAACUUGAGUGCAGAAGGGGAGAGUGGAAUUCCAUGUGUAGCGGUGAAAUGCGUAGAUAUAUGGAGGAACACCGGUGGCGAAAGCGGCUCUCUGGUCUGUAACUGACGCUGAGGCUCGAAAGCGUGGGGAGCGAACAGGAUUAGAUACCCUGGUAGUCCACGCCGUAAACGAUGAGUGCUAGGUGUUGGAUCCUUUCCGGGAUUCAGUGCCGCAGCUAACGCAUUAAGCACUCCGCCUGGGGAGUACGACCGCAAGGUUGAAACUCAAAGGAAUUGACGGGGGCCCGCACAAGCGGUGGAGCAUGUGGUUUAAUUCGAAGCAACGCGAAGAACCUUACCAGGUCUUGACAUCCCGAUGCUAUUUCUAGAGGUAGAAAGUUACUUCGGUACAUCGGUGACAGGUAGUGCAUGGUUGUCGUCAGCUCGUGUCGUGAGAUGUUGGGUUAAGUCCCGCAACGAGCGCAACCCCUAUUGUUAGUUGCCAUCAUUCAGUUGGGCACUCUAGCGAGACUGCCGGUAAUAAACCGGAGGAAGGUGGGGAUGACGUCAAAUCAUCAUGCCCCUUAUGACCUGGGCUACACACGUGCUACAAUGGUUGGUACAACGAGUUGCGAGUCGGUGACGGCAAGCUAAUCUCUUAAAGCCAAUCUCAGUUCGGAUUGUAGGCUGCAACUCGCCUACAUGAAGUCGGAAUCGCUAGUAAUCGCGGAUCAGCACGCCGCGGUGAAUACGUUCCCGGGCCU